CUGAAAUGCUGGAAGUCUCAGCUGUCCAUCGACACCACACUUACAAUGACUCAUGUCAACAUGCUUGAAUUGUAAAAUCUUUGAAAACACCGCUGGGAUGAUUUGUUUGAUUAACAAAGUUAUAGAGACAACAGAAAAACCAAAAAAACAUCGAUAUUUUGCUCUUCAUAUAGAUAUUUCAAAUCAUGCACAAAAUUUCGUCGUAGAAGGACACAUUUCACUUAUUCGCGAAACAUGUCGGCACUGUUGACAUGAGUCAUUGCAAGUGUGGUGUCGAUGGACAGCUGAGACUUCCAGCAAUUCAGAAUUACCCAUUUUAACAACAAAAAAUUUGAAAAAGUGGGUUUCAGGUGCCUCUGAACCUCGCAAAUUUUACCAAAUAUGAGGGAAAAACUUUGAGCUACUGUCGGCCUCUACGUAGACUCUCUACAAAAAUAAUUUUUUGGUAAUUGGUAAAGGAGAUGUUGCUCUACUACGAGAACUAUUUGUUAGCUUCAUCCCUCAAGUAUCCACGCCUGUAUGACUGUUUGAAAAUCACGUUUUUUAAACUUUAGCGUGUCUCUGCCGGCUUCCCUUGCACUAAUGGUAAAAUUUUUUUGUAUAAUUGUUAUUAGAAUUUCAGGCACUACCGAUUGCAACCAUAACCAGUUUUCCACCACUCUCUAUGUAGACAGGAUGGGCUAUGCACCACUG